rnacentral:rRNA from 1 species
GACGAACGCUGGCGGCGUGCUUAACACAUGCAAGUCGAGCGGUAAGGCCCUUCGGGGUACACGAGCGGCGAACGGGUGAGUAACACGUGGGUGACCUGCCUCUAGCUCUGGGAUAAGCCUGGGAAACUGGGUCUAAUACCGGAUAUGACUCCACGGCGCAUGUUGUGGGGUGGAAAGCCUUGUGUGGCUAGAGAUGGGCCCGCGGCCUAUCAGCUUGUUGGUGGGGUGANGGCCUACCAAGGCGACGACGGGUAGCCGGCCUGAGAGGGCGACCGGCCACACUGGGACUGAGACACGGCCCAGACUCCUACGGGAGGCAGCAGUGGGGAAUCUUGCGCAAUGGGCGAAAGCCUGACGCAGCGACGCCGCGUGAGGGAUGACGG